rnacentral:rRNA from 1 species
AUGAUGUUCCUCUUUGAUCCGUGUGUGUGGUGUGGCUAUUUAUUAAGAGAGUACCAGUAUACACCUCACAUUAUGCCAAUUUACACUUCUCCCCGAACGUCACAUUCAAGGGCUGAACUCGAUACACAGCCGACACCGGCGCGCAUGAUGCAAGCAGACCUUUCUCUUGUCAAUGCAAACACAUCAAAGGCAACAGCGAACCUGCACAUGACCACGAUGGCGCUUGGGGAGCUAGAGUUCAACGAGGUUUUCUUGAUAUAUGUGUACCUUGGCCGCAACAAGAUAGAAGAUGUGUGUGAGUUACGAGAAGAUUAUAUUAGGUCACUGCCUUCACUUUCAAUGAAAGAUUUUGAACCAGAAAUUUGGCACAGAUUUGGUCACAAGUUUGUAGCCGAAUCAGAUAGAAGGAGGAACCUUGACUGGGGGGAUUCAAGUAAGGCAAGAGUGUAUCAUUGCUGUUUGGAGAUAGCAGAUGGCUCCGUAGUUACCAUCUUUAAGGGGCCAUAUCUUGAAACCUCGAGGAACAAGCUGCAGAAAGUUGUUGGCGAUGAAAACAUUCUUGUUGUGAAGUUCUCGGAUAUACCUGGGCAAAGAAACUUUGGCAAUAACGUCGGUGCCUACUAUAGUGUUUACCAUAAGGUUGCUGAAGAUGGCAUCAGCUUGGGUUUGCGUCGUUACCGUUAUCUCAUUCACAAAGACGGGGGCAAGGAGGAGAAACGAAAAGAGGGAACCAAGAAAUUUUCUUCCGGUGUUAAAUGCUACUUUCUACGCACUGAAUCUGGGUGGAACAGAGAUGAUGGUUAUAUCCUCUCCAAUAAAACAAUUGAUGAGGCCCGCAAACUUUUUAUGCACGUUCACACUGUUCCCACCUUGGCAAAAUAUUUGGCCAGGUUUGCUUUGGUAUUGUCCAAAGCUACAACACUACUACUCCCUCCAAAUGGAAACAUUGUUUUCAGUCAUGGGGAGCCUUUGAUCCACACUGAUGGGACUGGCCUAAUCUCAGAAGAUAUAGCCAAUAAAUGCCCGACGAGUGUCGUCAAGGGAAACUUUUCGAGGACACCUGACCUGCAAGAACGGAGGGAGUAUAAUGGACUUGCUGUAAAGGGAACCCUUCUCGUUGAUAGAAGGCUUCUUCCUGGAACUAUUAAGAUACGGCGGUCAAUGAUCAAAACAGCAUCUGAUCCAAAUCUACAGGACGAGCAGUCCUUUAACUCACUGGAAAUAGUUGGUACAAGCAAAUAUCCAAAAAGAGCCUUUACAUCAAGGUUUUUAAUCGCACUGCUUCACUAUGGAGGGGUUCCAGCAGAUUAUUUUUUGGAGCUUGUAAGGAAGGCACUAAAAGAUGUUGAGAAAGCUUGUUAUAAAGCUAGUGAUUCUCUCGAAGUUGCAUAUAACCAUGCCAACUUGGAUGAUUCCAUGUCGGCACGAAUGAUUCUUUCUGGAAUUCAACCUGAAGAUGAUGCAUAUUUGCAAUACCAGCUGGCUUUUAUGAGUCGAGAAGAAAGAGAAGGAAUCAAAUUAGGAAGGAUUCCUAUUGAGGAGAGUUACUAUCUGAUGGGCACAUCAGACCCUACAGGGACACUAAAGCCCAAUGAAGUUUGUGUGAUACACGAGAAUGGACAAAUUUCUGGAGAUGUUCUUGUCUAUACAAAUCCUGGGUUACAUUUUGGCGAUAUACAUGUGUUAACUGCAACUCCAAUUCCUAAUUUGGAGAAGGAGAUUGUAGGAUUUUCCAAAUAUGUUAUAAUAUUUCCUAUUUCUGGUCCACGGUCUUUGGCUGACAAGAUGGCUAACAGCGACUUCGACGGUGAUAUGUACUUUGUAUCAAGAAAUCCCCAGUUACUUGAGCACUUCAGACCAUCUGAAGCAUGGGUUCCGAGAAACCCACCAAAAAAAGUCGAACAAAAGAAUCCUCGGGAUUAUGGUGGACCCCAGCUGGAAAGCCUGUUGUUCAAAGAAUUUUUGAAAAGUAGAUUUGUACCCAGUUAUACGAUAGGUACAGCUGCAGAUUGUUGGCUGGUAUACAUGGAUCAACUUUUGGUAGGCCAAGUUCAAGAAAGCAAACGCGAAAUGGAAAUAAAGGAUAAGACGCUUGACUUAGUUGACAUAUACUAUGAGUCUCUGGAUGCUCCCAAGACAGGGAUCAAGGUCGAUGUCCCCGAUGCACUGAGGGUCAAAAAAUAUCCCCACUAUAUGGAAAAAGGAGAUGAUCGGUCCUACCAUUCAACAUCAGUGCUCGGACAGAUCUAUGACGAAGCAAAAGCAUUGUCAGAGCAGUCUAAAGAUAUUCCUCCAAUCAAUAUAUCGCCCGUGGCGUGCUUUACAGAGGUGGCCGUGGGGGUAACCAAAGAGCGCAAGGAGCAGUGGAAAAGGCUUUACGACGAGUAUCGAGGAGAGAGCACAGCCCUCUACGAUAAGAAGUACAGCAAAGAAGAGAGAGACAUGCUGUACGACGCCGAGGAGUUCGACGAUAGCCUGAGGAACUACAACGAGGUGUUCGGCGAGGCCUGUGCCAUCUACCAGAUCGUCUAUGAGUACGCGCAGAGUCAGAACAAGGCUACAUUGUGCGGCUUUGCGUGGAAGGUCGCCGGCCGCGCACUGUGCCAUCUCCACGCAAUAAAGCGUGGCGGGGAGACGGUGCUCUGCUCGCAAUCCGUCCUCCGGGACGCUUUCAAGAAGAACCGUUGA